GGCGGCAGGGGGACANUCUCCUAGACGGCGGAUGGUGAUAAAGNGUGGUGACUGCCCUUAGGUUGGGGAUAGCCCUUAGAAAUAGGGGUAAUACCGAAUACGGUUAUCUGGUUAUGACUGGAUAAAGAAAGGAGCUUCGGCUUCGCCUGGGGAUGGGCCCGCGUCCCAUUAGCUAGUUGGCGGGGUAAGGGCUCACCAAGGCUCUGAUGGGUAGCCGGCCUGAGAGGGUGAACGGCCACACUGGGACUGAGAUACGGCCCAGACUCCUACGGGAGGCAGCAGCUAAGAAUAUUCCGCAAUGGUCGGGAGACUGACGGAGCGACGCCGCGUGGAUGACGAAGGCCGGAAGGUUGUAAAAUCCUUUUGUUGCUGAAGAAUAAGCUUUGCAGGGAAUGGCAGGGCGAUGACGUUAGGCUUACGAANAAGCCCCGGUAAA
rnacentral:rRNA from 1 species